AUCUCAGUUUGGGAAGUUCAACCAAGGAGAGCUCACAAAAGAAGUCUCUUUAAAGUUUUCUGGGGUCUCCUCCUGCAAGGUCGCCAGAAAUGGAGGAACCCCUGAAUAGGUACUCUUAUCCUUGCCCUGCUCAAGGCCAAGGGUACUAUCAAGGACCUCUUGUACAAGCGCCUCCCCUGCACUAUGCUCCUCCCCAGUACUACUAUGCUCCUCCCCAGUACUAUGCUCCUUCUCCUCCCGAAACAAAGCCGGGUUUUCUUGAAGGAUGCCUUGCGGGCCUUCGCUGCUACUGUCUCCUCAACG